rnacentral:rRNA from 1 species
UACGGAGGGUGCAAGCAUUGAUCGGAAUUACUGGGCGUAAAGGGCGCGUAGGCGGUUAAGAAAGUCAGAUGUGAAAUUCCGGGGCUCAACCCCGGAGCUGCAUUUGAAACUUCAUAGCUAGAGUUCAGUUAGGGUAAACGGAAUUCCACGUGUAGCGGUGAAAUGCGUAGAUAUGUGGAAGAACACCGGUGGUGAAAACGGUUUACUGGGCUGAUACUGACGCUGAGGCGCGAAAGCAUGGGGAGCAAACAGG